rnacentral:lncRNA from 1 species
UUAUUUCCCUUUUAGCUUCAGAGUUGAAACUACAGCUUGUUUUCUUAAUUGGUUUGGCAAAAGAAAAAUUGUUAGAAGAAAACAGACAGCUAAUCCAUGGUCAGUUUUACAUUCCACCUUGUGUUCUCCAAAGUAAAAACACAUAGGAUGGCCCUUGAGUAUCUUCAUUCAAAGUGACAAGGUGAGUUCUGACAGUGUCAUGUAAUCCGUUCUUUUCUUUGAAUAAAGUCCUUUUUGCUAUGUAUAUAGACAGGAAGAAACAAACUAAGAAAGCUACAGUCUACAUUAUCUCUGAUCUCGCGUUCAUCUGAAUCAUUGCUGCCUUCUUUGCUACAAGC